UAGCAAUCCCGGUCUGAAUGUGGCCUGUGGGCUGCAUGUUGGACGUGCCUGGGCUAGUCAUCUCCACUGUGGCCUGCCAACCUCAGCCAUCCUGAUUCUGUGGUGCUGUCAUAUGGUAGAACAAAAGGAAAUAGAAAACAAAGGGCAUCCUCCUCUAAGUGGAAAAACUGGGACAGUGUAAUGUAUAGAGAAUAGGAAUCUGUGGCAUAAGGGCACAGAAGGUUUCUGGCAAAAGCAAAGAGAGACCUCAUCUUACUUUAAUGGCCUCACCUUUUCCUUGGAGCAAAAAAUAUCAUGAAAGAGCUAACACAUACAGAAGCUACUUUUCCAAACGAGCAGUAUCAUCUCUCUUGUACAGUUAUCAGGCUAAGAAGUUAGCAAAAUCUGACCAUGAUAUUAAGCUGUGUCGACAAAGAAAUAAUUACACCAUAACAGGAUGGACAGCACACUGCAAGUGUUCCACAUCAGUAUCAACAGGUAAGAUUUCUUUUUCUUCCUUUUUACUAAAGUAAUAAAAAAUUACCAAAACAAAUAAACA
rnacentral:lncRNA from 1 species